rnacentral:miRNA from 1 species
UGGAUGACUUCACUUUGCAGGCCUCUGUGUGAUAUGUUUGAUAUAUUAGGUUGUUAUUUGAUCCAACUAUAUAUCAAACAUAUUCCUACAGUGUCUUGCCCUGUCUCCGG